GACGAACGCUGGCGGCGUGCUUAACACAUGCAAGUCGAACGGAAAGGCCCUGCUUUUGUGGGGUGCUCGAGUGGCGAACGGGUGAGUAACACGUGAGUAACCUGCCCUUGACUUUGGGAUAACUUCAGGAAACUGGGGCUAAUACCGGAUAGGAGCUCCUGCUGCAUGGUGGGGGUUGGAAAGUUUCGGCGGUUGGGGAUGGACUCGCGGCUUAUCAGCUUGUUGGUGGGGUAGUGGCUUACCAAGGCUUUGACGGGUAGCCGGCCUGAGAGGGUGACCGGCCCAAUGGGGCUGGGGAACCGGCCAGGCUCCUUCGGGGGGGAGCAGUGGGGGAUAUUGCCCAAUGGGCGGAAGCCUGAUGCAGCAACGCCGCGUGCGGGAUGACGGCCUUCGGGUUGUAAACCGCUUUCGCCUGUGACGAAGCGUGAGUGACGGUAAUGGGUAAAGAAGCACCGGCUAACUACGUG
rnacentral:rRNA from 1 species